rnacentral:rRNA from 1 species
UACAGAGGCCUCAAGCGUUGUUCGGAAUUACUGGGCGUAAAGGGAGUGUAGGUGGUGAUGCAAGUCAGAUGUGAAAGCCCUGGGCUCAACCCGGGAACUGCAUUUGAUACUGUGUCGCUAGAGUGCGGAAGAGAAGAGCGGAAUUCCUAGUGUAGGAGUGAAAUCCGUAGAUAUUAGGAGGAAUACCGAUGGCGAAGGCAGCUCUUUGGUCCGUAACUGACAC